CCCCUAGAUGUCCUGGGCCGCGCGCGCAAUACAAUGUAAAGUUCAGAAAGCAUAUCCUGUUCCGGAAGGCAAUGGGUAAUCUUUUCAAUAUUUUACGUGUUAGGGAUCGAUCUUUGCAAUUAUAGAUCUUGAACGAGGAAUACCUAGUAAGUGCAGCUCAUCAGGCUGUACUGAUUACGUCCCUGCCCUUUGUACACACCGCCCGUCGCUCCUACCGAUUUCGAGUGGUCCGGUGAAUCUUUUGGAAUUAGAGUGCAAACUCAAACUAAGAUCGAUAAACCUUAUCACUUAGAGGAAGGAGAAGUCGUAACA
rnacentral:rRNA from 1 species